rnacentral:rRNA from 1 species
CAUAGCGGUGAUGGCACACUUUGAAUGCACCAGUUUCCCACGGAUCACUGAAGUUGCAACGUUGCGCAUGGUUAGAACCUGGAUGGUGACCAUCUAGGGAAUCGCGUACUGCUGGGU